UACGUAGGGUGCAAGCGUUAAUCGGAAUUACUGGGCGUAAAGCGUGCGCAGGCGGCUUUGCAAGUCAGAUGUGAAAUCCCCGGGCUUAACCUGGGAACUGCAUUUGUGACUGCAUGGCUGGAGUGCGGCAGAGGGGGAUGGAAUUCCGCGUGUAGCAGUGAAAUGCGUAGAUAUGCGGAGGAACACCGAUGGCGAAGGCAAUCCCCUGGACCUGUACUGACGCUCAUGCACGAAAGCGUGGGGAGCAAACAGG
rnacentral:rRNA from 1 species